GGUUAAGCGACUAAGCGUACACGGUGGAUGCCCUGGCAGUCAGAGGCGAUGAAGGACGUGCUAAUCUGCGAUAAGCGUCGGUGAGGUGAUAUGAACCGUUAUAACCGGCGAUUUCCGAAUGGGGAAACCCAGUGUGUUUCGACACACUAUCAUUAACUGAAUCCAUAGGUUAAUGAGGCGAACCGGGGAACUGAAACAUCUAAGUACCCCGAGGAAAAGAAAUCAACCGAGAUUCCCCCAGUAGCGGCGAGCGAACGGGGAGGAGCCCAGAGCCUGAAUCAGUGUGUGUGUUAGUGGAAGCGUCUGGAAAGGCGUGCGAUACAGGGUGACAGCCCCGUACACAAAAAUGCACAUAUUGUGAGCUCGAUGAGUAGGGCGGGACACGUGGUAUCCUGUCUGAAUAUGGGGGACCAUCCUCCAAGGCUAAAUACUCCUGACUGACCGAUAGUGAACCAGUACCGUGAGGGAAAGGCGAAAAGAACCCCGGCGAGGGGAGUGAAAAAGAACCUGAAACCGUGUACGUACAAGCAGUGGGAGCCUCUUAAUGGGGUGACUGCGUACCUUUUGUAUAAUGGGUCAGCGACUUAUAUUCUGUAGCAAGGUUAACCGAAUAGGGGAGCCGAAGGGAAACCGAGUCUUAACUGGGCGUUAAGUUGCAGGGUAUAGACCCGAAACCCGGUGAUCUAGCCAUGGGCAGGUUGAAGGUUGGGUAACACUAACUGGAGGACCGAACCGACUAAUGUUGAAAAAUUAGCGGAUGACUUGUGGCUGGGGGUGAAAGGCCAAUCAAACCGGGAGAUAGCUGGUUCUCCCCGAAAGCUAUUUAGGUAGCGCCUCGUGAAUUCAUCUCCGGGGUAGAGCACUGUUUCGGCAAGGGGGUCAUCCCGACUUACCAACCCGAUGCAAACUGCGAAUACCGGAGAAUGUUAUCACGGGAGACACACGGCGGGUGCUAACGUCCGUCGUGAAGAGGGAAACAACCCAGACCGCCAGCUAAGGUCCCAAAGUCAUGGUUAAGUGGGAAACGAUGUGGGAAGGCCCAGACAGCCAGGAUGUUGGCUUAGAAGCAGCCAUCAUUUAAAGAAAGCGUAAUAGCUCACUGGUCGAGUCGGCCUGCGCGGAAGAUGUAACGGGGCUAAACCAUGCACCGAAGCUGCGGCAGCGACACUAUGUGUUGUUGGGUAGGGGAGCGUUCUGUAAGCCUGUGAAGGUGGCCUGUGAGGGUUGCUGGAGGUAUCAGAAGUGCGAAUGCUGACAUAAGUAACGAUAAAGCGGGUGAAAAGCCCGCUCGCCGGAAGACCAAGGGUUCCUGUCCAACGUUAAUCGGGGCAGGGUGAGUCGACCCCUAAGGCGAGGCCGAAAGGCGUAGUCGAUGGGAAACAGGUUAAUAUUCCUGUACUUGGUGUUACUGCGAAGGGGGACGGAGAAGGCUAUGUUGGCCGGGCGACGGUUGUCCCGGUUUAAGCGUGUAGGCUGGUUUUCCAGGCAAAUCCGGAAAACCAAGGCUGAGGCGUGAUGACGAGGCACUACGGUGCUGAAGUGACAAAUGCCCUGCUUCCAGGAAAAGCCUCUAAGCAUCAGGUAACAUCAAAUCGUACCCCAAACCGACACAGGUGGUCAGGUAGAGAAUACCAAGGCGCUUGAGAGAACUCGGGUGAAGGAACUAGGCAAAAUGGUGCCGUAACUUCGGGAGAAGGCACGCUGAUAUGUAGGUGAAGCGACUUGCUCGUGGAGCUGAAAUCAGUCGAAGAUACCAGCUGGCUGCAACUGUUUAUUAAAAACACAGCACUGUGCAAACACGAAAGUGGACGUAUACGGUGUGACGCCUGCCCGGUGCCGGAAGGUUAAUUGAUGGGGUUAGCGGUAACGCGAAGCUCUUGAUCGAAGCCCCGGUAAACGGCGGCCGUAACUAUAACGGUCCUAAGGUAGCGAAAUUCCUUGUCGGGUAAGUUCCGACCUGCACGAAUGGCGUAAUGAUGGCCAGGCUGUCUCCACCCGAGACUCAGUGAAAUUGAACUCGCUGUGAAGAUGCAGUGUACCCGCGGCAAGACGGAAAGACCCCGUGAACCUUUACUAUAGCUUGACACUGAACAUUGAGCCUUGAUGUGUAGGAUAGGUGGGAGGCUUUGAAGUGUGGACGCCAGUCUGCAUGGAGCCGACCUUGAAAUACCACCCUUUAAUGUUUGAUGUUCUAACGUUGGCCCGUAAUCCGGGUUGCGGACAGUGUCUGGUGGGUAGUUUGACUGGGGCGGUCUCCUCCUAAAGAGUAACGGAGGAGCACGAAGGUUGGCUAAUCCUGGUCGGACAUCAGGAGGUUAGUGCAAUGGCAUAAGCCAGCUUGACUGCGAGCGUGACGGCGCGAGCAGGUGCGAAAGCAGGUCAUAGUGAUCCGGUGGUUCUGAAUGGAAGGGCCAUCGCUCAACGGAUAAAAGGUACUCCGGGGAUAACAGGCUGAUACCGCCCAAGAGUUCAUAUCGACGGCGGUGUUUGGCACCUCGAUGUCGGCUCAUCACAUCCUGGGGCUGAAGUAGGUCCCAAGGGUAUGGCUGUUCGCCAUUUAAAGUGGUACGCGAGCUGGGUUUAGAACGUCGUGAGACAGUUCGGUCCCUAUCUGCCGUGGGCGCUGGAGAACUGAGGGGGCUGCUCCUAGUACGAGAGGACCGGAGUGGACGCAUCACUGGUGUUCGGGUUGUCAUGCCAAUGGCACUGCCCGGUAGCUAAAUGCGGAAGAGAUAAGUGCUGAAAGCAUCUAAGCACGAAACUUGCCCCGAGAUGAGUUCUCCCUGACUCCUUGAGGGUCCUGAAGGAACGUUGAAGACGACGACGUUGAUAGGCCGGGUGUGUAAGCGCAGCGAUGCGUUGAGCUAACCGGUACUAAUGAACCGUGAGGCUUAACCUU
rnacentral:rRNA from 1 species